UCGCCAUGUUGGCCAGGCUGAUCUUGAACUCCUGACCUCAGGUGAUCUGCCUGCCUUGGCCUCCCAAAGUGCUGGAAUUAUAGGUGUGAGCCACCAUGCCUGGCCCUAGAUGGGUUAUUAUACUAAGUUUCUUUGAGCAGCAGCCUUUGUUCACAUGUGACUCACUGGUAGUGGGUAUUAGUUGGCAGGUUUGGGUGUGUCUGGCCCCCCCCCUUUUUUUUUUUUUAAAGAUUUGGAUCUGUGUUGUUAUCAGAUUGCUAGACCAGUUGAUAUCUAUGACAGGAUCACAACUAAUCUGGCAGCCCUAGCAGAGAGUUACCAAAUAAUACUCAGUUUUUUCCCCCAGCAUAGAACUGUUGAACACUGUUUUUUUGUGGGGGGGGGCGGGGCGGGGGGGAUAUCUAGGUGGCAUCAAUUAUCCCAGUUUGCCUGAGCCUGAGGGGUUUCCCAGGAUGUGGUUUCACUGCUAAAACUGAGAAAGUCCCAGACAAACCGGAAUGAUUGGCCCUCUUCUGUAACUAGCUAACAUAGCUCUGUUUUAUGUGUUGUGUGAUUUACUUGGAGGCUAUUUGCAGGUAGUACAACUGUGAGUUGUAUGUUGUACCUUAAUUUAAAACUUAAGUGCAUGGUGUAAAUGUGAAUCAUUGACAGAGUAGCUUUUGUUCUGUAUUUAAAUUAUUAAUGAUUUAGAAAAUAAUUUUUACUAAAGUAGGAGAAAAUAUAGAAUUGAUAUUCACUAAAUGUGGUAUUUCAGCUAAGUGAUUUAUAUCCACCAAAAGUUUCCAAGUGGGAUUUGUGUUUUCAAAAGAGGUUUUUUUUUUUUUUUUUUUUUUUUUAUUAGACUUGUGGUAAAUUCAAGAAAUUAUUCUACAAGUAAAAAACGCUCAUAAUCAUUUAACAUAAAAGAUUAUUUAACUUUAAAGCCAACUUACUUUCAAUAAAGCCUGUUAAACUAGCUCACUGGUGAGUGAAUGAAUUGAUUAAAAAUACUUUCUUAAAUAUAUCUUUUUAUAACCAUUUUAGAUUGGUAAUGGCUUAAAAUCCAAUGUGAACAAAGAAUGUUAGGGCAUUGGAAAUAGCACUGACAUUGGCCCAUAGUUUUCCUCUGAUUAAAUGAAAGUGACACCAGUAGAUUAGAAUGAGACUAGGACAAUUCACACUGCAAUUGUGUUAGUUUAACUUUAACAAUCUUUUAACACUCUUGUUUAAAUGUAGCUGACAUACCAUAAUUACAAAUCUACAAGCCUUGAUUAUAGAAUUUUACAUCAUGAACCUGUGGGGAAAUUGUAUUGAUUUUUUUUUUUUGUUUAAUAAAGCAAGCAUUGUUCCCAAACUAUGGCAUCUUCCCAAGUUUGUUUAUGUCUACAUCUCUCAUAUACAACUGUGUAUGGUGUAUAUACUAUGUGUAGCAGGCAUGAAGACAACAUAAAAGGGAAAUCACAGUCAUGGUAUUCUGAAGAUCAGAGAUGCGAGUCUCCCUUAUUUGGCAUUCCAGUGGGCCCAGUCUAUUAUUCACUCCAAAUGCCCUGCUACUAAGAUUAAACAAGCACAUUCCCCCUAGGCUCAGGGACUGUUGUGGAAGAGGUGGCCAUGUGAGAUUGUAAGGGCCAGUUUUGAUUAAUAGAAUUAGGGCGAGAUCAGACUCUCCAGCAAAUCAAGGAUUGGUACAAAGAUGCCUAAAUAGCUGAUAAAACUAGAGACAUUCCCUUCUAAGCUAUUAUGUGUCGCCUUUGCGUCUACCCCAACCAUAAAUAAUUUCCUGCUUCCUGUAGAAUUAAAGAAAAAUAAUUACUGAUAGGAUAAAGAUACCUUGUGACAAAGCCUCCUGGGUAUAAUACUCCCAGUUAUGAGUUGUGCAAAUAGAUAUAUUUUUUUAAAAACACACAUUUUUUUCAGAACAAUGCUUAUGUUUUGUUUAGCUAAUUGCUAUAAAUCCGUAACUAAAACCAAGAUUAUGUGCUCAACACAUAGAAGUUUAAAAUAAGUCAGUUUUGUAACCUCACCUUUGGCUUUUUGUUUGUUGGCUUUCUACUUAAAAAAAAUAAUAAUAAUUUUAAAGAAUAAUGAAUGCCUGUUCACAUCCAUUCCUGUCUGGCCUAAAAUAGUUAAUUGGCUGUAAGUCUUGUUGACUCUAAGUCCCAUGGCCAUAGGGAGUCCCACCAAGGGGCAGGAUGGACCUGGGGGAGGCAGCCAUGCCACCCUGGCAAUUCUGAAACCACCUUUGCAAAAUUAUGUCUGAGACAGUGAAAGCGAUCUAACUUAACUGACUCCGUCUUGCUUCUAACCUCCAAGCUGUCCUUGUUCAUUCCUGGGCUUAGGCUGAACAAACUUUGGGAGAAACUUAGUUUAAAACAAACGUGGUAACAGCCUUUCCCCAAAGCAGACCUUCUUGCCUCGGGACUAGAUUGCCUUUGUGGGACUAACAUUAGCCACAAGAUUAGAAAUUAUGGUUUAGGAGUCAUGCAGCUGGAGGCUACAAGAUUCUGACCCUUCCUAAACUGCUCCUAAGACCUAUGCUUGAGAUACUUUGCAGACCUUGCACAUGAUGGAUCAGCUGGCACCACCCAGAUCAAUAAACUGCUCAUCUGAUCCUGUGCACCGCUCCCCCCACCCACCCAGGAACUGACUGAGUGCAAGAAGACAGCUUUGACUCUCUAUGAUUUAAUCUCUUACCAAUCAGUACUCCUGGUUCACUGGCUUCCUCCCACCCACCAAGUUAUAAACUCUGAUCCCCAAUGCUCAGGGAGACUGAUUUGCGUAAUAAUAAAGCUCCCACACAACUGGC